rnacentral:sRNA from 1 species
AUGAAAAAUCUCUUGCACCAUAUUCUAAGUGGGAAAGAGUUUGGCGUUGAAAGAAGUGAUACGAGGUCUCACCAUGCUGCCCAGGCUGGUCUUGAACUCCUGGGCUCAAGCAGUCUUCCCACCUCAGCCUCCCAAAGUGCUGGGAUUACAGGUGUGAGCCACCACGCCUGGCCUCGGUGCGCCCUAUCCACUCCUCCACAUCCAGCCCUGCCAUCUCCAUCCACGAGGUGGGCCAUACCGGAGUCACCAAAACUGAGAGGAGUGGCAUUAACAGACUGAGGAGUGAAAUGAAACAGAUGACUAGGCGGUUUAGUGCU